rnacentral:rRNA from 1 species
GAUGAACGCUGGCGGCGUGCCUAAUACAUGCAAGUCGAGCGAACAGACGAGGAGCUUGCUCCUCUGACGUUAGCGGCGGACGGGUGAGUAACACGUGGAUAACCUACCUAUAAGACUGGGAUAACUUCGGGAAACCGGAUCUAAUACCGGAUAAUAUAUUGAACCGCAUGGUUCAAUAGUGAAAGACGGUUUUGCUGUCACUUAUAGAUGGAUCCGCGCCGCAUUAGCUAGUUGGUAAGGUAACGGCUUACCAAGGCGACGAUGCGUAGCCGACCUGAGAGGGUGAUCGGCCACACUGGAACUGAGACACGGUCCAGACUCCUACGGGAGGCAGCAGUAGGGAAUCUUCCGCAAUGGGCGAAAGCCUGACGGAGCAACGCCGCGUGAGUGAUGAAGGUCUUCGGAUCGUAAAACUCUGUUAUUAGGGAAGAACAAAUGUGUAAGUAACUAUGCACGUCUUGACGGUACCUAAUGAGAAAGCCACGGCUAACUACGUG